rnacentral:rRNA from 1 species
UACGUAGGGUGCAAGCGUUGUCCGGAAUUAUUGGGCGUAAAGGGCUCGUAAGCGGUUUGUCGCGUCGGGAGUGAAAACCCAGGGCUUAACCCUUGGCUGGCUUUCGAUACGGGCAGACUAGAGGUAUGCAGGGGAGAACGGAAUUCCUGGUGUAGCGGUGAAAUGCGCAGAUAUCAGGAGGAACACCGGUGGCGAAGGCGGUUCUCUGGGCAUUACCUGACGCUGAGGAGCGAAAGUGUGGGGAGCGAACAGG